AGCGAACGCUGGCGGUAGGCCUAAUACAUGCAAGUCGAACGGCAGCACAGUAUGCGCUUGCUCUUACGGGUGGCGAGUAGCGGAUGGGUGAGGAAUACAUCGGCAUCUACUUUUUCGUGGGGGACAACGUAGAGCAAAUUACGCUAAUACCUCAUAACAUCUAAGAGUGAAAGCAGGGGUUAUUCGGACCAUGCGCGCACGCAUGAAUCGAUGUCGGAUUAGCUAGUUGGCGGGGUAAAGGCCCACUCAGGGGACGAACCGUACCUGGUCUGAGAGGAUGAUCAGCCACACUGGAACUGGGACACGGUCCAGACUCCUACGGGGGGCGGCGGUGGGGAAUAUUGGACAAUGGGGGCAAGCCUGAUCCAGCCAUACCGCGUGGGUGAAGAAGGCCUUCGGGUUUUAAAGCCCGUUUGUUGGGAAGGAAAAGCAGCAGGUUAAUACCCCGCUGUUCUGACGGUACCCAAAGAAUAAGCACCGGCUAACUUCGUG
rnacentral:rRNA from 1 species